rnacentral:rRNA from 1 species
UUAAGGUGGACCUCYGACCCCGUGCGUCCUAACACGACGCUCACAACGAGACCUCAGGUCAGCGGGACUACCCGCUGAGUUUAAGCAUAUCAAUAAGCGGAGGAAAAGAAACUAACAAGGAUUCCCCUAG